rnacentral:rRNA from 1 species
UAGAGUUUGAUCCUGGCUCAGAGUGAACGCUGGCGGCGUGCUUAACACAUGCAAGUCGAACGAUGAAGCUCUAGCUUGCUAGAGUGGAUUAGUGGCGCACGGGUGAGUAAUGUAUAGCUAAUGUGCCCCUUAGAGGGGGAUAACAGUUGGAAACGACUGCUAAUACCCCAUACUCCUUCUUCCUAUAAGGGAAGUUGGGAAAGUUUUUUCGCUAAGGGAUCGGGCUAUAUGGUAUCAGCUUGUUGGUGAGGUAAUGGCUCACCAAGGCUAUGACGCCUAUCUGGUCUGAGAGGAUGAUCAGACACACUGGAACUGAGACACGGUCCAGACUCCUACGGGAGGCAGCAGUGGGGAAUAUUACACAAUGGAGGAAACUCUGAUGUAGCAACGCCGCGUGGAGGAUGACACAUUUCGGUGCGUAAACUCCUUUUAUAUGGGAAGAUAAUGACGGUACCAUAUGAAUAAGCACCGGCUAACUCCGUGCCAGCAGCCGCGGUAA